CUCAGGUGUUGUUGGGUAGGGGAGCGUUCUGUAAGCCUGCGAAGGUGGCCUGUGAGGGUUGCUGGAGGUAUCAGAAGUGCGAAUGCUGACAUAAGUAACGAUAAAGCGGGUGAAAAGCCCGCUCGCCGGAAGACCAAGGGUUCCUGUCCAACGUUAAUCGGGGCAGGGUGAGUCGACCCCUAAGGCGAGGCCGAAAGGCGUAGUCGAUGGGAAACGGGUUAAUAUUCCCGUACUUGGUGUUACUGCGAAGGGGGGACGGAGAAGGCUAUGUUGGCCGGGCGACGGUUGUCCCGGUUUAAGCGUGUAGGUGUGUGUUCCAGGUAAAUCCGGUUCACUUUAACACUGAGGCGUGACGACGAGGCACUACGGUGCUGAAGCAACAAAUGCCCUGCUUCCAGGAAAAGCCUCUAAGCAUCAGGUAACAUCAAAUCGUACCCCAAACCGACACAGGUGGUCAGGUAGAGAAUACCAAGGCGCUUGAGAGAACUCGGGUGAAGGAACUAGGCAAAAUGGUGCCGUAACU
rnacentral:rRNA from 2 species